rnacentral:lncRNA from 1 species
GUUAGACUAACCAACAGAUCUACCACCUUGUGCUUGAGGUCUUAACCUGUGUCCCUUCCCUCUAGGAACGUGUUCCCUGCCACCCUACCGGAGACCGGCUUCCUUUCUCUGCUUCUAGAACUGAGUUCAUCCUUCUGGGUAGCCUAGUGGUUAGCCACUGGCUGUUUCCAUCUGAACUUAAGCUGAAGUCAGGGUUGAAAGUACCUCAUUGUCCACUGGGAACAACAUUUCCAGAAGAAGAAGAAGAAGGAGAAGGAGGAGGAGGAGAAGGAGGAGGAGAGAGAAGAGAGAAGAGAGAAGAGAGAAGAGAGAAGAGAGAAGAGAGAAGAGAGAAGAGAGAA